GGCGGACGGGUGAGUAACGCGUAGGAAUCUACCUAUUUGUGGGGGAUAGCCAGGGGAAACUCUGAUUAAUACCGCAUACGCUCUACGGAAGAAAGUGGGGGCUCUUCGGACCUCACGCUAAUAGAUGAGCCUGCGUAAGAUUAGCUAGUUGGUGGGGUAAGAGCCCACCAAGGCGACGAUCUUUAGCUGGUCUGAGAGGAUGAUCAGCCACACUGGGACUGAGAAACGGCCCAGACCCCUACGGGAGGCAGCAGUGGGGAAUAUUCGGACAAUGGGGGCAACCCUGAUCCAGCCAUGCCGCGUGUGUGAAGAAGGCCUUCGGGUUGUAAAGCACUUUCAGAUCGUGAGGAAAGGUGUGUGGUUAAUACCCGCAUACUGUGACCGUUAACAUCAGAAGAAGCACCGGCUAACUCCGUGCCAGCAGCCGCUGGUAAUACGGAGGGUGCAUGCGUUAAUCGGAAUAACUGGGCGUAAAGCGCGCGUAGGUGGUUUGGUCAGUCAGAUGUGAAAGACCAGGGCUCAACCUUGGAAUUGCACCUGAUACUGCCAGGCUAGAGUACAGUAGAGGGGUGUGGAAUUUCCGGUGUAGCGGUGAAAUGCGUAGAGAUCGGAUGGAACACCAGUGGCGAAGUGCGACACC
rnacentral:rRNA from 1 species